UGUUAAUUUGGGAAUAGCAGGGGAAUUAUAACUCGGACAAGCAAGCGAUGAUGGAUGGGGGAGCAAAUGGAUGAAUGGAUGGCGGAUGGCUGAGUGGAUGGACAGAUAGAAGAGCAGUAGAAGGAUGGGGCAGCUGCACGAGGAAGGACACAAACAGGGCUGAAAGAAAUGGUUUUACCGGCAAGGGAGACUUAUGCGACUGGAAGGAGCCAUCAAGGGGGAGAGCGAGAUGCAGUGCAAGGAAGGACACUGAUGGCAUCAUUCUGCAGAAGCAGCAAGGGUAUGUGUGGAGGGCUGUGAGGAGAUGGGGUGGGGUUUGUCUGAGACCGGAAGGAAGGUGGGGAGGAAGGAAAAAUGAUCCUGAAACACCAGAGGUGAAGGCGUGAGAUGACUCCUCUCUAAUGGCUUCUGUCUUCUGUUAGUUAGUGGAGUGAAUUUUCUAGUGAGGAUGGGGAGCAGUGGCUGAACUGUGCGUAGGGAAAAUGGUCC